rnacentral:tRNA from 2 species
CGGAAUGUAGCGCAGCUUGGUAGCGCGUGCGCCUGGGGGGCGUGAGGUCGCAGGUUCGAAUCCUGUCAUUCCGACCA